rnacentral:rRNA from 1 species
UCGGCUUGCAGUGGGGAAUAUUGGACAAUGGGCGAAAGCCUGAUCCAGCCAUGCCGCGUGAGUGAUGAAGGCCCUAGGGUUGUAAAGCUCUUUCGCCAGGGACGAUAAUGACGGUACCUGGAUAAGAAGCCCCGGCUAACUUCGUGCCAGCAGCCGCGGUAAUACGAAGGGGGCUAGCGUUGUUCGGAAUUACUGGGCGUAAAGGGAGCGUAGGCGGACUGUUUAGUCAGAGGUGAAAGCCCAGGGCUCAACCUUGGAAUUGCCUUUGAUACUGGCAGUCUUGAGUACGGAAGAGGUAUGUGGAACUCCGAGUGUAGAGGUGAAAUUCGUAGAUAUUCGGAAGAACACCAGUGGCGAAGGCGACAUACUGGUCCGUUACUGACGCUGAGGCUCGAAAGCGUGGGGAGCAAACAGGAUUAGAUACCCGAGUAGUCCAAGCC